UUCAUCAUCAACACACCAUUUGUUACUUCUUGGAGAGUGGUGUCUCCUAGAUUGGCUAGGUGUCACUUGGGAGCCUCCGUCAAGAUUGUGGAGUUGAACCAAGGAGUUUGUAAGGGCAAGGAGAUCGCCUACUUCAUGAAGAUCUACCCGAGUGAGAUCAUGAAGAAAUGCACACAUUUUGAAUUGCUGAAUGACUACGUUAAGCGGAUUCAAUUCAAUGGGGCCCCAACCUGGGAGCUCAAUCUGCCGUCAGCACCAACGAAUUUGGUCUCUGAAAGUGCUGCUCUGACAGUUGGGGAUGCAGAUCUGAAGGGGGGAUUAAAGAAGAUGAACAAGAACUUGAAGCAGAUGAUUCAAUUGAACAAGCAGGCGAAUCUGAUAGCUUUAGGAAUUUAUCCCUUUUAUUUUUGUGUAGUUGCU
rnacentral:rRNA from 1 species